UACGUAGGGUGCGAGCGUUGUCCGGAAUUACUGGGCGUAAAGAGCUCGUAGGUGGUUUGUCGCGUUGUUCGUGAAAACUCACAGCUUAACUGUGGGCGUGCGGGCGAUACGGGCAGACUGGAGUACUGCAGGGGAGACUGGAAUUCCUGGUGUAGCGGUGAAAUGCGCAGAUAUCAGGAAGAACACCCGUGGCGAAGGCGGUUCUCUGGGACGGUACUGACGCUGGAGACGCGAAAGCCGUGGGGAGCGAACAGG
rnacentral:rRNA from 1 species